rnacentral:rRNA from 1 species
UGAGUGCGAGCUGCUACGGCAGCGAAGUUGGUGAUGUCAUGCUUCCAAGAAAAGCCCUAUACCCGUUAAGGCAUCAUGGCCUGUACCCGAAACCGACACAGGUGGGGUGGUAGAGAAUACCGAGGGGCGCGAGGUAACUCUCUCUAAGGAACUCGGCAAAAUGGCCCCGUAACUUCGGGAGAAGGGGUGCCACCGCAAGGUGGUCGCAGUGAAGAGGCCCAGGCGACUGUUUACCAAAAACACAGGUCUCCGCUAAGUCGCAAGACGAUGUAUGGGGGCUGACGCCUGCCCAGUGCCGGAAGGUUAAGGAAGCUGGUCAGCGCAAGCGAAGCUAGCGACUGAAGCCCCGGUGAACGGCGGCCGUAACUAUAACGGUCCUAAGGUAGCGAAAUUCCUUGUCGGGUAAGUUCCGACCCGCACGAAAGGCGUAACGAUCUGGGCGCUGUCUCGGAGAGAGGCUCGGCGAAAUAGAAUUGUCUGUGAAGAUGCGGACUACGUGCACCCGGACAGAAAGACCCUAUGAAGCUUUACUGUAGCUUGGUAUUGUGCCCGGGCUCGCAAUGCGCAGGAUAGGUGGGAGGCUUUGAUCAUCGGCUUGCGGGUCGAUGUGAGCCAACGGUGAGAUACCACUCUUUGCGAGCUAGGGUUCUAACGGCCACCCGUCAUCCGGGGGCCGGACAGUACCUGGUGGGCAGUUUGACUGGGGCGGUCGCCUCCUAAAAGGUAACGGAGGCGCGCAAAGGUUUGCUCAGGCUGGUUGGAAAUCAGCCGACGAGUGUAAAAGCAGAAGCAAGCUUGACUGUGAGACCAACAAGUCGAACAGGGAGGAAACUCGGCUUUAGUGAUCCGACGGUUCUGAGUGGAAGGGCCGUCGCUCAACGGAUAAAAGUUACUCUAAGGAUAACAGGCUGAUCUCCCCCAAGAGUUCACAUCGACGGGGAGGUUUGGCACCUCGAUGUCGGCUCAUCGCAACCUGGGGCUGAAGUCGGUCCCAAGGGUUGGGCUGUUCGCCCAUUAAAGCGGUACGCGAGCUGGGUUCAGAACGUCGUGAGACAGUUCGGUCCAUAUCCGGUGCACGCGCAGGAAUAUUGAGAGGAUUUCUCCCUAGUACGAGAGGACCGGGAGGAACGCACCUCUGGUGUACCAGUUAUCGUGCCAACGGUAAACGCUGGGUAGCCAUGUGCGGAGUGGAUAACCGCUGAAAGCAUCUAAGUGGGAAGCCCACCUCAAGAUGAGUAUUCCCAUGGCGUAAGCCAGUAAGGUCACGGGAAGAACACCCGUUGAUAGGCUCUAUGUGGAAGCGCAGUAAUGCGUGAAGCAGAGGAGUACUAAUAGACCGAGGGCUUGACC